CCUGGUCAGUCUGUCAUGGAAAUAAUCUAAUCCUAAUGUCUUGUCAGCUCAGUGAGCACAUGUGUGCUGAGGUGCAGAGAAUCAGAGCAGGAGGUCAGUCCUGUUAGAAUCAGAGCAGGAGGUCAGUCCUGUUGGAAUCAGAGCAGGAGGUCAGUCCUGUUAGAAUCAGAGCAGGUGGUCAGUCCUGUUAGAAUCAGAGCAGGUGGUCAGUCCUGUUAGAAUCAGAGCAGGAGGUCAGUCCUGUUAGGGAUAGAAUCAGAGCAGGUGGUCAGUCCUGUUAGAAUCAGAGCAGGAGGUCAGUCCUGUUAGAAUCAGAGCAGGUGGUCAGUCCUGUUAGAAUCAGAGCAGGAGGUCAGUCCUGUUAGGGAUAGAAUCAGAGCAGGUGGUCAGUCCUGUUAGGGAUAGAAUCAGAGCAGGAGGUCAGUCCUGUUAGAAUCAGAGCAG
rnacentral:lncRNA from 1 species